UGGCUGAGCACCAAAAGCUUAACAAAGCCAUCACGAGCUCUCGAUCUAAGCUCAUCUCGAUGGUUCUCCAUCCGGGUAACCCAAGGGACCCAGGUCGCUGUGGUCAGGGCCAAACGCCCUGGGGUCUGGCCGAUUCCCAUUUCGACCAGUCCUAAGAAUAAGGAUUUUAGGCAGUGCUCCUUAAACAUUUCGAUGAUUGCUUCUGGAACAUUAUCCUUGAACAAUGGGCCUAGGGUCUAGGGGGAGGUGUUUGGCUCAUCUUCAAACCGGAUGGUUUUGAUCGUGUUUCGGUUGGCAAUGUUUUGACACUUGCUGCACUCCUCGAUUAACUUGUUGAUUAAAACAUUGAUUACCAUUGGAGAAGAAGGUUUUCUGGGUAUUGGAGGCUGGUUUUCUGGUUUUUCAAAAGAAAAUGGCGAAGAGAUUUAAGAGAAAAUGGCAAAGGGAUUUGAGGUUUCUGUAAGCGUAAAAGGUUGAAUGAAAAGAGGUGAGUAUUUAUAGGCAUUUUGGGGGAAGAUCCAACGGUUUAAUGUUUAAAAUGAGGGAUAAUAUUAAUAGGGGGAUUUGGUAAUCAUGAUGAAUAUUCAAAGGAUCUAAGUGAAGAGAUCGAAAAACUCGCAGAUCGAGACUACACGAUGGCAUUGACGACAAGCUUAAUGGUGAAGAGACGUUUGAGUAUUUGCACAUCUCAAAAAGAUCGGAAAUUCAUGGAUCAAGGUUAUAAUGAUGGCGUGUGGUGGAUAGUUUAGUUUUGAGGAGGCGUUUAAGUGUUAAGUAAGGACAAACAUGCCAGGGAGAUGCCACGUGGUAGGGUGUGUCAAAAUUAAGAUCGUGCAAUCAUGCUUUAUAAAUGCGCCUGGUGGAUGGAAUAUUCGAGACUUUUCAUCGUCUUUUAAAGAUACCUUAAGGGUUUGAUUUCACUUCUUCAAGGUCGAAACUCGGCUAAGGAGUUUAAGGUCGAAGACCUCAGAAGUGAGGGGGCAAUGUUUAGCCCCAAAAUAAUAUUAUUGGGCUAACCUUAGGUUUGUUUUCAAUCCAAUGCUCUUCCGAAAAUACUAUGGAUCGUCCAAGCUAUCAUAACUCGCCAAUCAGGUCGGUCGAGUCCUGUUGCAAGAAUGAUUGAUUUGGAUAAAAUCGAAGAAGUUGAGUCUUGGUACAACAAGGGGGUUUCAGAAUUGAAGGCAUUGGGAAUUCGGGAGUGAAUCUAAUUCAUUAUAGAGGUUGGUUCACAAACCUAUUAGAACUAGGAUUGGCCGAAUCCUAAUAAGAUUAGAUUUGGGAGUUUUUGUCCUGGUAUAUCUCUGGUUCGGCCAGGAGUAGGUUCACUACUAUAUAUAUAUAGGGGAGUGCAUCAUUCAGGGCCCCUCCAAAUCAACACAAAAAACUGCUCUGCGCAAACUCUCUCUACACGAAUCCUUUUAACAACCUUGAGAUUUUUAUUUUCUUUUUUCGCCAACACAUUUUCAGUUUGGAUAAACAGCACUGUGAAGGCAACCGGCGAAUAUCUUCAGUUUGGAUAAACAACACUAUUACAGU
rnacentral:lncRNA from 1 species